rnacentral:misc_RNA from 1 species
AACGCACAUUGCGCCCAUUAGUAUUCUAGUGGGCAUGCCUGUUCGAGCGUCAUUUCAAACCCUUAAGCCCUGUUGCUUAGCGUUGGGAGACUGCCGUAAAACGCAGCUCCUUAAAGGUAUUGGCGGAGUCGAGACACACUCUGAGCGUAGUAAUUUCUCCUCGCUUUUGUAGGUGUCCGGCGCCGUGCCGUAAAACCCCAACUUCUAGGUUUGACCUCGGAUCAGGUAGGAAUACCCGCUGAACUUAA